rnacentral:rRNA from 1 species
AUGCAUGGGUUUCAAACAUCAGGAUCUCUUAUUCAAAUAUUUGAAUUCAACUUUCACUACUGGAAUCAGGAUCUUUGCCUUCAGCCAGACCAGCGGCUGGACGCGGUGCAUUGGAUCCGGCAGGCGGUGGGGCUCGCCUGCGGCCUACUCUGGGGCACCGUCCCCCUCGUUGGCGCCUUUUGGAUCGCCCUCAACAAGCAUCGCAGUGGUUAUGCGCUUUCUCUGGUAUUAGAUUUUUUUUACUGGACCUUCCUUUUUGGUUGGAUAUUGGUUAUAUACGUGACUGAUUCAUAA